GCAUCCUCGUCCUGCUCGCCCUUCAGUCCCCAAGUUCUCAAUCUCUCCUCCUCCUUCCUGUGUUUUCUCCAAAAUCCACAUCUAAUCCCCAUGAAAUUGAGCUCGUUUUUGUUGCCUUCUCUGCUCCGCGCAACAUUUUUCCUCCAUAGAUCCAUGAGAGGGCGUGCAAAGGGCAGGACGACCGUGAUGCAAGCUCGUGCACCCGCUGCGUUACCAUGGUGUGCGACGGCGGAGACCGGUGCCGGCUGGGGCAGCGAUGCAGGAAACGGCACACCUCGUUGCUGGAACCGGCCGACUGGAAAGCUGCAACCGGCAUCCGUUGAUGCUGGAACCAGUAAUCAUUUUUGCUACCACAGGCGUUUGGUUUUGCUGGAACCACCGCCAAAUUUGCGGCGAUGGCUUUCUUUUUGCUGCAACCGUCUCGGAUUUUUUGCUACUACAGGAGUUGCCAUUUUGCUACUACCAGAGCCUUGCUCGAAGCAUCAGGAGUUUUUGCUACCACCCCUUUUAUUUUUGUUUUGAUUUUUGCUGGAACCAACCUAAAAAUUGCUCCAACCGUCGUUCGAUUUUGCUGGAACCGGCAUUUUUUGCUUCGUCGGUGGCGGUGAAGGCGGGUGGCGUUUUGCUUCGCCAGCGGCGGCUAGGCUGCGACCUGCGAGCACCGGCGGCGAGCAGAAGCAACGAGGGUCCAAAGGAGGGCGGCGGGGGCUAGCGUGCGGGAUCCCGCGAGCGGCGGUGGCGCUCGCUCCCCCCCCCCCCCUUUUUUCCCUGUGCGGAGGAUGACGAAAGGGGAUGCGGGACAGAUCUGACGGUCCCGCGCGUCCAGAUCGAGUGGCUCGGGUUGGACCGGCCGAAACUUUGCGCCGGUGCGCCGGCGCAGAGUACUGCCCAUUUUUUUUUUUUGAGUCUAAAAAAUGAUUCGUAAUGGUAACGGCCUGAAACGUGAUUUGUGUAAUACUUUGGGCCGGUGAGCAGCCGAUGCCGCUUGGGCCUUUUAUGCAGGAACCUUGGUUGCUUUUAUUAACCGGGCCUGCCUGUUUGAGACACGAGAGACCUUCCUUCCCUCAAAAAAAAAAAAAAAAAGACACGAGAGACCUUCCUUCCUCCUUUGUUCCUCUUACCAACCACCGGCAAUCGCUCAAAAAAAAAAAUAAUAAACCAACGACCCGCUGUGCUAGGGUUCCUGAUCCCGCCGACGACUUCUCCACGCCGCCCCACAUCCCUCCACCAGAAUCAGGCGCUCUAAUACUAGGUACUCGAUGCCUCGAGUCGGAGACCUAGAAGCAUCCUCGUUCUUAAGGCCCUUGGCGGAGUUCGGUUACCUUUCCUCCAUCAUUCUGGAACGAUGGAUUAAUUUGAAGAACGUGUCUAUCGAACGGCCUUUCUUAAUAUACAACACUGUAUGGUUGGUUCUUGACAAAAUAGACUCGCCCUAUGCACGGCCCUGAACAAUUUUUUAAUAUUCCAUCCUUUUAGGUUUACAAGGCACCUCAACCCAAUGGGUGCCUUGUUUACUGAGUGGAGGGAUUCUGUGAAAAGAAACAACCCUCGGAAUUGUAGUUUUGUGAAAAAUUAUAUCAAUGAGAGUGAGUGGUUACAUGUUUAAAAGUGUGUUUCUAUGAAAUUGAUUUCCUUGGGAAGGUUUCCUAUUACUCUUGCAGAAACCCUAGAGAUCCGAGGAAGAAAAAUCGAUGAAUUGAUUUCUGGUAGAUACUUCUUUGGUAUACAAGAAACCUUUGAUAUCAUGAUGAAGUAUAUUCUUGGCAUGGCAAGUAUGCAACCCUUUUGUAAGCUGCUCUGUAUAAAUUAAAAGAGAAGAAUGUUUGAGAAAUAUGAAUAGACCUUUUUAAUCCAGAUAAUUUUGUACCGAGCAAACUAAGUGAUGGUUUGCAUCGGUAUCCCCCCCCCCCCC